GAUGAACGCUGGCGGCGUGCCUAAUACAUGCAAGUCGAGCGAAUGGAUUAAGAGCUUGCUCUUAUGAAGUUAGCGGCGGACGGGUGAGUAACACGUGGGUAACCUGCCCAUAAGACUGGGAUAACUCCGGGAAACCGGGGCUAAUACCGGAUAACAUUUUGAACCGCAUGGUUCGAAAUUCAAAGGCGGCUUCGGCUGUCACUUAUGGAUGGACCCGCGUCGCAUUAGCUAGUUGGUGAGGUAACGGCUCACCAAGGCAACGAUGCGUAGCCGACCUGAGAGGGUGAUCGGCCACACUGGGACUGCGACACGGCCCAGACUCCUACGGGAGGCAGCAGUCGGGAAUCUUCCGCAAUGGACGAAAGUCUGACGGAGCAACGCCGCGUGAGUGAUGAAGGCUUUCGGGUCGUAACCCUCUGUUGUUAGGGAAGAACAAGUGCUCUUUCCCUAAGCUGGCACCUUGACGGUACCUAACCAGAAAGCCACGGCUAACUACGUGCCAGCCGCCGCAGUAA
rnacentral:rRNA from 1 species